rnacentral:lncRNA from 1 species
AGGCAGGAGAAUGGCGUGAACCCGGGAGGCGGAGCUUGCAGUGAGCCGAGAUCGCGCCACUGCAGUCCGCAGUCCGGCCUGGGCGACAGAGCGAGACUCCGUCUCAAAAAAAAAAAAAUAAAAUAAAAUAAAUAAAUAAAUAAAUAAAUAAAGUUUUAAGAGACACAGUGGCUCACAUUUGCAGUCCCAGCUACUGGGGAGGCUGAGCUGGGAGGACUGUUUGAGCCCAGGAGUUGGAGGCUGCAGUGAACUACGAUUGUACCACUGCACUCCUGGGAAACAGAGCAAUAAGCAACAACCUGUCUCAAAUAAAAGAAAAAAAAGAAAAAAGAAAGAAAGAAAAGAAAAGAAUGCAUUUUUAUCCAGAAGAUGGCGUGGUCAGUAUCACUGGAGCCUGUCAUUCUACCCAGAUCCUUUCCCCAGCAUAUGUUAGAUUUCCAUUUGGAUUCAGGCAGAAUGAGUUCAAAUCCCAGCUCUGUACGGACCAUCUCUGUGACUCUGUGGAAAUUGUUUAUUCUAUAAUAUACUUAACUUCUCGGGCUGCUUGUGAAAAUUACAGGGGAUAAAGUAAGUGAAGUGUCUGGAAAGUGGUGGUUAAUUGGUCAGUAGUAAUUGCCUUCCCUGGUUGUCAGGGGUCACCCUUUUUUUUAAUCUAAAGGGGAUGAUCUAGACUCCAGUUCUGGGUCUAUUUUCCCCCCAAAUAAAAUCCUAUCCUCUCAAGAAGUAAAGUAAGAGAACAGUGAAAGUGUCGAUGUCUAUAAUAUUACCUAAAUGUCUCCUGGGAUACUGUGAAUGGAGUGAGGGAGUUCAUAAAAAAUUCUAGCAUUUCAUUCAUUUUCAGCUGCUGUCUCUGAUAUAUGGAAGGCUGUAAUUUCACAAGGAAGUGAAACCUUACCUCCUACCAGGUGUCAGUAUAUUUUAAGCAAAGAGAUAUUACAACUCGGGAAUUAUUGAAAACCUAUGUUCUUUCCCUGCAAUUGCUCGAGGCAGAUUUUGAAAGCCACAUUUUGAAAUCAGCCUAUGACGUCAUCAGAACUAGCUGUAAUCGAGGUGACACAGUUGAUGACUCUCUGGGUAGGGCUGGUGUGGGAGAUAGUGAUAAACAUUUGGCCUGAAGAAAGCUGGAAGACAGAUCUAUUUUUAGAUUUUUAUUAUGCAGUUUUAUCUUGAGUCUCUUUAAAAUUGUGCAACUCUCAACUCUCCAAACAAAUGAACAUUUCAUUGCUCUGUAUUCUAAAACAAUUUCUUAAAAACUUGCUUUCUGUCUUUUUCUCAGCUCUCUAUCUCUCAAAAGAUUAAAAAUCAGAAGGUAAAUUGCUUGUGUCCUUUUCAUGCACCCAAUUUCAGCUCAUUUUAAGUGUUUAAUUUACUUAAAUAGCCUUCAAUUCAUCUUGGAACUAUUUCGACUUAGCAAGAAAAUAUAAGAACAUAUACGAUUUACUGCCGUAAUAGCGUCUUGGAGAGGUAUGUAGUGUGUGUGUGCACGUGUGUGUGUGAGUGUGUGUUUGUCUCCCCCAAGGAGCAGCAGCAGUGCCUGGUAUUCACUCUGUUCCUAUUUUUGUCUUUUGUCAUCACUGCUGUAACUGAGCCCACUGUCAUCUGGUAGGAAUAUUUACCCGCUGGAUCUGACUUGGCUGGGUAGCGGUGAACACACAUCUGGAGUCUAGACUUGGCGGCUCUGUGGGCAGGCUCGCAGCCCAGGGCUCCAUCAGCCCCAGGGCUCCAACACUCCGGCGCCCUGCUCUGUUGACAUAGCUGGUGGGCUGCCUCAUCAGUUUCAGCUGCCUGACCCCCUGGUCCCCCAGCCUCCCCCAUCCCUGCCAUAUCCCAGCUCUGUGCACUUUGGAGAGCCACCAGAGGAGCGCCUCUUCUGCUUCCUUCUGCGAGCCCCCUCUACUCAGGAUGCUUUGCUGGAGAAGAAGGGAAGGAGGAAUCCACGUUAAUGUGAAACCUGCAGACAGUGAUUCUGCUUCAGAGAUAAGGGGUUGCUUUGGAUGGGAGAGGAGCUCUGAUAAAAGCACUAAGCGUAAGAAAGAAAAAAUCUGAUGGGGUAAAACAGAUAUAUACCUUGGAAUAUAUGAUUUGGGUUUAAAUCUUAUACCCAGCUGUUACACCAGAUGUGUGGCCUGGAAAGUCUUUGAGGCUCAAAUUCAUUAUCUAUAAAUUCAGGGGAAGAGUGAUGACCGCAAUAAGUUGUUGGGCAGGAUACAAACCUGAAUAAAGACAAAAGGUCUAGUUCAAUGUCUGCCUUAAAGCGACAAAUAAAAAUCAGUUCCCUUUUUCCUGGUCAAUGUUUCAUUUACACAAGUCAGAGUGAUUCUUUGACCCAAGGCAAGCAAAACAUCCUUGAGAUUUGCUGAAAAUAGAGGGCGCUUGGGGGAAACAUUCAUGUGAAAUGAGAAGUUUUUGAAAAAGAUCCCACAGCAAUAUCUGCUUUUAGAUAGAAGGUAACAGAGACAGAGGCGAUCACAUUCUUGUGGCGGCAGCAUUUCCCAUGUGGGAUCUUGUUUUCUCUUGUCUAUUUUUAUAAAAUGAUACUAGCGUGAGGCUUUGAUAAUGGGUUGGUGACUUCUAUAGAAUGAGGCUGAGCCCCCUGGGAGUUGAGGCUCCCCUGAAACGUCAAUUUUGAGAUUUGAGAGAUUCUUAAUACACAUGCAUUGGUCUAUGCGUUAACAGCAAUGGGUUCUUAGUGUAUUUCCCUCACAAGGAGGCUAAAUCACACUGUUUACAGUUAUUUGCAUAUGUGUCUAAUCAGUUAUAUCUGCAAUAAAAUGAUACCUAAAUCAAUUUCUUGCAAAAAGAAUUAUUUGGAUGUCUACCCAGCAAACAAAAGUGUUUGAGAAAUUAUAAGUUUCUUUUGAAAGUCUAUUUUAUUAUACUGUGGUUGGCAAACCACGGCCUGCAGCCCACAGACAGAAACUGUGGAUCUGCAUCCAAGCCUGAAAUAUGUAUCCUCUGGUUCUUUACAGAAAUGUUUGUUGAUGCUUGUAAUUGUAUAAAUAAAUAACAAUAAAAAGUGUAGUUUUCUCUUUUAAAAUUGGGAAUACCUGUUGGUACUGUGUGACCAUGGUAUUUUCUGGUUUACAAUCCAUCCUGCAUGCUCAUUUUACUACAGUAUUAUGAGUGUGUGGGGGCUGCUGUGACAGAACACCAAUAGACUGCCUGAUGGCUUAAGCAGCAAACGUGUAUUUCUCACAGUUCUGGAGGCUGGACAGUCCAAGUUCAAGGCCAAUUUGACUCCUGGUGAGGGCCUUCUUCCUGGCUUACAGAUGGCUGCCUUCUCAUGGUGUCCUCACGUAGAGAGAGGAAGGACCUCUGGUCUCUGUUUCUUUUCUUUUUUCUCUUUUUGAAAUAGAGUUUCACUCUUGUUGCCCAGGCUGGAGUGCAACGGAAUGCUCUGGGCUCACUGCAACCUCCACCUCCCAGGUUCAAGCGAUUCUCCUGCCUCAGCCUGCAGAGUAGCUGGGAUUACAGGCGCUCCCCACCACACCUGGCUAAUUUUUGUAUCUUCAGUAGAGAUGGGAUUUCACCUUGUUGACCAGGCUGGUCUUGAACUCCUGACCUCAGGUGUUCGCCUGCCUCAGCCUCCCAAAGUGUUGGGAUUACAGGCGUGAGCACCACACAUGGCCUUUCUUUUCUUAUAGAUUCUAACUCAUCAAGGAGCCUGGACCUCAUGACCUCCUCUAAAUCUCAUUUCCUCCCAAGGGCCCUAUCUUCAAAUCCCAUCACAUUGGAGGUUAGGGCUUCAACAUAUACAUUUUAGGAAGAAGGGGAAUACAAACAUUCAGGCUGUAACAAUUACACAGUAAGUUAUUUACCAUGGUGUAGAAAUCCCUUCCUUUUCUGAUCUUAACAUAGCAACUUCAUUCCAUGGCACUCACUUCUACCCGCCUCACGUUCCAGACAAAUGAUGAGGACUCACAAUAGUCUAUGGGAACAUAAAUGGGGAAACAGAUAAUUCUGUCUGAGGCCACCAGAGACAUUUAAGUGAAAAAGAGUAUAUAUGACUUGGGCUUUGAAGAA